rnacentral:rRNA from 1 species
UACGGGGGGAGCAAGCGUUGUUCGGAUUUACUGGGCGUAAAGGGCGCGUAGGCGGUCAGCACAAGUCAGUUGUGAAAUCUCCGAGCUUAACUCGGAAAGGUCAACUGAUACUGUGCGACUAGAGUGCGGAAGGGGCAACUGGAAUUCUUGGUGUAGCGGUGAAAUGCGUAGAUAUCAGGAGGAACACCGGUGGCGAAGGCGGUUCUCUGGGCCUUACCUGACGCUGAGGAGCGAAAGCAUGGGGAGCAAACAGG